CCUACGGGGGGCAGCAGUGGGGAAUAUUGGGCAAUGGGCGCAAGCCUGACCCAGCAACGCCGCGUGAAGGAAGAAGGCUUUCGGGUUGUAAACUUCUUUUGUCAGGGACGAAGCAAGUGACGGUACCUGACGAAUCAGCCACGGCUAACUACGUGCCAGCCGCCGCGGUAAUACGUAGGUGGCAAGCGUUCUCCGGAUUUAUUGGGUGUAAAGGGCGUGUAGGCGGGAAUGCAAGUCAGAUGUGAAAACUAUGGGCUCAACCCAUAGACUGCAUUUGAAACUGUAUUUCUUGAGUGCUGGAGAGGCAAUCGGAAUUCCGUGUGUAGCGGGGAAAUGCGUAGAUAUACGGAGGAACACCAGUGGCGAAGGCGGAUUGCUGGACAGUAACUGACGCUGAGGCGCGAAAGCGUGGGGAGCAAACAGGAUUAGAUACCCCUGUAGUC
rnacentral:rRNA from 1 species